GAUGAACGCUAGCUACAGGCUUAACACAUGCAAGUCGAGGGGAAACGACAUCGAAAGCUUGCUUUUGAUGGGCGUCGACCGGCGCACGGGUGAGUAACGCGUAUCCAACCUGCCCACCACUUGGGGAUAACCUUGCGAAAGUAAGACUAAUACCCAAUGACGUCUCUAGAAGACAUCUGAAAGAGAUUAAAGAUUUAUCGGUGAUGGAUGGGGAUGCGUCUGAUUAGCUUGUUGGCGGGGUAACGGCCCACCAAGGCGACGAUCAGUAGGGGUUCUGAGAGGAAGGUCCCCCACAUUGGAACUGAGACACGGUCCAAACUCCUACGGGAGGCAGCAGUGAGGAAUAUUGGUCAAUGGACGAGAGUCUGAACCAGCCAAGUAGCGUGCAGGAUGACGGCCCUAUGGGUUGUAAACUGCUUUUAUAAGGGAAUAAAGUGAGUCUCGUGAGACUUUUUGCAUGUACCUUAUGAAUAAGGACCAGCUAAUUCCGUG
rnacentral:rRNA from 1 species